GGCUCUAUGGUCUAAGGGUAUGACGCUUCGGAUCAAUCGGAGAAGUACAGGUUCGAGUCCUGUUGGGUCCU
rnacentral:tRNA from 1 species